UCAAGUAGGACAGAUUUUAGCAUUGGAUUGGAUGCAACAUUUUCUCAAAGACUGAUGACAAUCAUUUUCUCAUCAGUCACUGAUUCGUUGAUAGUUAAUCUAUAACAUCUGGAAAGUGAUUAAGAGAGGGAAUCUGAACACCUAAUUUUCUUCAGGUGAUGAAAAAACAAACGGCCGUCAAAUAUGAAAUGUUUGAAAUAACCAAAAUCUUGUCAGUGUAUUCCUAUUAUUUUAUUUUACCGAUUGACUUAGUAUGAAAUACAUCAUUAUAUUGCAUUAAUUUUUUGUUGCGUCGUAACAAACAAUGAACUGCCCUCUGUUGAAAGUCUAUGGGCCAAAUCGAAUUCUUCGAAGCACAACUCCUCUCUGCCGAAUGACCUAUAGUUCUAAUGAUACAACUCAAAGCCCACCAACCAGUCAUACCACACAGAUACCAGAGGAACCGACCACCUGCUGCAUGUCUGGUUGUGCCAACUGUGUCUGGAUUGAAUACGCCAACCAAUUAUGCAAAAUAUUUGAUGAUGGAGGUGAAAAAUCCAAAGAAAUUGUAUUAUCCAAAGUUACUGAUCCUAAUAUGAGGGCUUUCUUGCUCAUGGAAUUAAAAGCCUUGGAGAAAUCAACAAGCAAGACCAGUUAGUGAUACAUUAAUAGAUAGUUAUGUUGUGAUCUUUGUUUACUGCCUUGGUUUUAAUCAAUAGGUUGUAAAAUGUGUACCUGACAGUUAUAUAAGUAAUUUAGUUACUUUCUUUAGUAAUGUUACCUUGUGAUACUUUUAAGUAACUACUUUUUUCUUUUUUUUUAAAGGAGAGGCCGAUCCCCUUUUAAGCCUUAUUCUGUCCAUCCUCAUGGGCCACUGGCCUGUGCGAGGAUCUUGUCAAACGGAAUAAGGGGGAGAGUCAAUAUCGAUUAACGGAAUAAGGGGGAGAGUCAAUAUCGAUUGUACUGAUAAAAAGUGCUUCAGUCACAGACAGGAUCUGAACCUGCGCUAUCUCCAACUCAGACCCAAAGUCCAAUGUCUUAGUCCGCUUGGCCAUUGGCACUCCCAAUACCACUUAAUCUGAGCUUGAAUAUGAAGAUGCCAGCAAUAAUUAAAAUUCAUCCUUAUUUUAUUAUGUUAGUUCUUUAACUGAAUGUUUGAAGUUAUCAGAAGGAUUUAUUUUAGUAAGAAAUUUUCUUACACUCUUCAUGCAAAUUUAUUACACCCUUAAAUGUGCAUGCCUUUUUGACAAAAUAUAUGGCAAAUAUUUUACGUAUUUUUACAAUGCACUGUAUGUAAUGGGUUUCACUCAUGUCAUAAUCAUAAUCACAUUAAAAAUCAAGUCAAAGUAUUUAAUACUUCUACGAAAUUUUAAAACAAUUAAGAGAAGCAUACCAUUUAGUAUUUCAUUUUUUUAUAUGUACCUAUUUAUUAUUUUUGCUUAAUUAUCUAUUUCUUAAUCGUUUAAGUUUAAUAGUAGCCUACAUACUGUAACAAAGUUUGUUUACAAUAUGUUCACCUUUUUAUUAUUGUUUAAAAAAAUUGAAAUGUAAAUGUUUAGCUGCAGUCCACCUUUCUCUUACAUCUGUUGCAGACUUUACUCAUGAAAUCUGGAGUCAUGUUUGUCUAAAAGUAUAAAAAAAUAGUUGGCAACGAAGAACAAAGAAGCUCAAAACGGGCUCUGUACUGUUUCAACAUCAUACACACCUAGUCUACAAAAUAUAGUGCAAUCUAGGAGAACAGAUAUUCUCAUUGUCUCAUCAGUGCACAAUUCACCUCAGAUUUCAGAUGCUGCACAUAAGAGGAACGUAAAUUGGAGCUAAACUCAAUAUUCACAUUAUUGAAUCAACCCUUCCCGGCAUAGCUGCAUUAUGUGUAAAAUUUUAAAUAUAUUUCAUAUAGAUUGAACGCAUGAAGUCAUAAACAAAAGUUGUUUACCAAAUAAUAUACUACUAUUUGGUCAGAAAGUGAAGAGUUGGGGGGAUACUAGCAUUAUUUUGCAUGAUUAUAGCCCAGUUCAGUGCAUAUGACAUUUUUGUUGGAAAGAUUGAUUAGUUCAGCAAUACUGGUUAAUAAAACGAAUAAUGCAUUGAAAACUUCUCCGGUAGGAAUGUACAUGCGUUUUAUAUGACAAAACUUGAGUUGCAGUAGUAACUCAUAAUCCUUUAAAAAAAUUUAUCUUUUAUAGCCAUGCGUUUAUAUUAUUAAUUUUUACUUUAUCAGCAUGUGGUGAUUUACAAGUUAAUUAAUUUUUUUAUAAAUUACUAAACAAUUUAAAAGAGGAAAGAAGAUAAAACUUUAAUAAACAAUAAUUGCAGUACACAUAACUGGUUUACUCUUACAUUCUAAAUGAGGGAAUCUGUACAUAAUGUUAAUAAAACAUUGCAUGGUCAAUUUAAACUAUGCCACAAGUAUAAUUUCUUGUUGGUAAUAGAAACAUUGCAGUGUAUUACAAGCAUGCAAAUAAGCUGAAUAUACAAACUAUUUUCCACUUUUGUUGAGCUAUAUGUGAAGGAAAGUGAUAUUAACAGUUAAUUUUAAUCAUUAUAAUCUAACUAUGCCUCUCAGUAAAACCCCUUUUUGUUUAAUUUCAAGUUUACAAAAACAGAAGGACAAGGAUCAUUAAAAAUAUUGAUUAUACCUGUUGAUGAGUAUUGGGAAGUGACCCCAAAAGAGUGUAGGCAUGCUGACUGACAUGUCAUAGUCGACUUUUCGUGUAAAAUUUGAGGUGCUUGUAUCAUUCUAUCCAUAGAAGUUGCAACUAUUCUUGGUACGUGAAAAUUGUAAGCAAGCACCUGUUACUGAAUGGUGCCAAUUUCUAGGGACAUUUCAAUGGACUGUAUGACUUCCUAUUUUCACAGGGUUUUCUCCUGAAUUUAUUCAUAAAAAGUAAUUUUUAUCAUACGAAAAAAGGAUACUAAUUGGGACUUUCUUGGUAAAAUUGUUGAUAUUAACAGUUAUUAUGUAUUAAAUAAAACUAAAUUUAAGAAAUAGCAAAAAUUGGACGACUUCAUUUCCUUAACCUUUUAGGGUCAGACAAUAUCUGGUAGGUACACUCCAUUGCGUCAGUUUUCAGUGGUGCCAGCACACCUGCACUCAAUAGGUUAAUCUGCUAUUUUACAGACUUUCAAAGAUAAAUCUCAGUGUGUGAAAUAAACAUAAUUUGCUUAGGCAGUAUAUUUAAUAGGACUUCACAAUAUAUUUAGUAGGCAAGUGUAGGAGGAAUAGAUGAGCUUACUUAUCCGUCCUUCUAUACCUUCUACCUAAAACAGAUCUAUAUAUGCAUGAAUAUACAUAUUAUUUAUUGGUACAGUACUUAAUUUCUUUAUAAAUAUUAGUUGUAUUCUUUUGAUGUUAAUUUAGUUGUUAGUUUGUGUGGUGAAUGAUUUUGAGCAAAUACCCACGUUAAACUAUUAAAUUUGUUUACUGCUUUAUAAACUAAUAGUAUAUUCUAUUAACAAUUAUUUGUUACAGUACAACACAAACUAUCAAAAGUAUUAAGAAAUCUGAAAGUGUUGUAAUUUAGUAAUAAAUUAUAAGUUAUAGCUACAGUCAAAAAAAUAUAUAUUAAUUUAAUUACAUAAUUAGAUUCCAAUAUUCAUAUUUGAAAUUUGUUAGAAAAUACAUAAAUUAGUUUUAAAUUUAAACAGUAUUAGUAUAUUUAAAAAUAUUGAUAAAAGUAUUUUUCCUUUAUUCUAAUGUUCUUUUACCAAGAAGUCUUGUAGUUCGGAAGAUAAUAUAUAUUUUCAUAUUUAU
rnacentral:lncRNA from 1 species